GCUCCUACCGAUUGCGUGAUCCGGUGAAUUAUUCGGACUGACGCAGUGCUCAGCUUCUGGACGUUGCGUUGGAAAGUUUCAUGAACCUUAUCACUUAGAGGAAGGAGAAGUCGUAACAAGGUUUCCGUAGGUGAACCUGCAGAAGGAUCAAGAGCGGAAGAGUAGACGGCGGAAAGACAGGGAAGGGGCCUUAUAGCGUAUGCCGGUGGCUGGUUGAAAAAAAAAAAGAAUGCUGGGAAUAACUGAGAUAUCUAUUCAAGAGAGCUCUUACGGGAGG
rnacentral:misc_RNA from 1 species